rnacentral:misc_RNA from 1 species
CCUUCAUCCAAGCUGAUUAGGAAUUCCUCUGCCACUGGUUCAUGGAAUAUCCUGGAGGAAAUACGAAAAGUGAGAUCUAAGGCAACUGAAGAGAUGUUAAGGACUCCAUCGUCAAUAAUUGAUUGGUCUACAUUAGCUUCAGAUAGCAAAAGGAGCCCUUAUUCGUUGCUAUCUGAUAAAGCAGAAUCUGUUUCACAAAGGGCACAAGAUGGAUUGCUGACUGAAUCUUCUCCACCAGAUAUAGCUUCCUCAAUUCCCGAACAAAGUCAGGGUCCGGGAGCUAUACAGAUCAUUGAAGGAGCUGAAGGCUUAUGUGAUGGCACAAAAGGGAGAUUAAACCCUGGACAAAGACUUCAACCUUCACAAGAAAUGAAGAAAUGAGGACUGCACCACCAUGUGAUGAUGAUGUUGAUGACUGCAAGGAUGUUGAUGGGGUUUGCAAACCUUUAGACUAUACUGUGGGAGGAGAUACUAAAGAUUCAACGUUACAUGAAACAAAUUGUUCAACCAUGGCUGAAGUUGCCGAAAGGAAUGUUGCAGUUGCAGUUGCUGCAAAUGGUUUCCCUCCUUCAGGAUCUAGUUUGACUGCAAGUCUGCAAGGAGAACAUAAUUCUACGCCAUCCGAUGAGCAGCACCAUACUGUUGAUUCUGCCUAUGACAACUUAACAAGAAGUGCUCAUGUUGGUGAGACGUGUGAGCAAUUAAGUG